GUAUCUAUUCUGUGGUCAAUAGCAACAGAGCCGAAGUCAGCAGUUAAAUUCAUAAUUUUUCUUACAGAUCUUGGUCAAGUAAAAAGACACGCAAAAUGUGACAACCUACAACGGACAGUGAUUAACGCGACAAUUCUAUUACAAGAAAGUUGAAAUUGUGAAAUAACAGCUGAAAUAACUUUGGUGAGAGAGAAAGACUGAAAUGGUUCUACAAAAUGAUGUCUUUUAGCAUAGCUCUUACAAUCAACUUUUGGGAAACCAAAGAAACAAAAGGAGCCAUUUUAGAUAUAUUUAUUAUUAUUACUUUUAUUCAUUAUUAUUAUUAUAAAAGUAUUAAUUGAUUGCGCCUAUAUCGCAAAAAUGGUUUUCAGUAGGACCCUGUUAAAUACAAUAACUAUAUUGCAUCCAUAGAUUAAAAGAAUACUAAAAUUUCAAAUAAAACAUUCAUAACCUAUAUUUAAAAAGUUUAAGACUCUGAUUCUCCCUAAUAUUCUUAUGUAACUUGUUCCAUUCACAUGCAAACCUGGUAAGCGAACUUUUGUUCACCUAAAUUUGUUUUUACUUGUUGCUAUAUGUUAUUCAUAGAUUUCAUACAUUAGCUAUUGUUGUUGUCCAUUACGAGAUGAACAGGAAAAUCACGAUCGUUUUUAGACACUUAAAGAUUGUAUUAAGGUUUACUCUAAAAAAUAAAUUACCUUCAUUCUUGUUUUCAUCAUCUAAUAGGUACGAUAACUAAAUUUAGUAGUUA